GCACAAGCGGUGGAGCAUGUGGUUUAAUUCGACGCAACGCGAAGAACCUUACCUGGGCUUGACAUGUUGGUGACCGCCGUGGAAACACGGUUUUCCUUCGGGACACCAUCACAGGUGGUGCAUGGCUGUCGUCAGCUCGUGUCGUGAGAUGUUGGGUUAAGUCCCGCAACGAGCGCAACCCCCGUCCUAUGUUGCCAUCAUUUAGUUGGGGACUCAUAGGAGACUGCCGGUGACAAACCGGAGGAAGGUGGGGAUGACGUCAAGUCAUCAUGCCCCUUAUGUCCAGGGCUACACACGUGCUACAUUGGCGCAUACAAAGGGCAGCAAUACCGCGAGGUGGAGCAAAUCCCAUAAAGUGCGCCUCGGUUCGGAUUGGAGGCUGAAACUCGCCUCCAUGAAGGUGGAGUUGCUAGUAAUCGCGGAUCAGCAAUGCCGCGGUGAAUACGUUCCCGGGC
rnacentral:rRNA from 1 species